rnacentral:lncRNA from 1 species
UGAUGUAUUAGGGGGAAAUACUCUCCAUUAUCUCACGGGGCCUUGCCUAGGGAGCCAAAAAAAAAAAAAAAAAAAGAAAAAGAAGUGAAGGGAGUUCUCGAUGUGGCGCAAAGGGACUAGCGACAUCUUGGGAGCACUGGGCUGCCGAUUCGGUCCUCAGCCCAGCACAGCAGAAUUAAGGAUCCAGUGCUGGUGCUGGUGCAGCUGUGGCUUAGGUUGCAACUGUAGCUCGGAUCUGACCCCUGGCUUGGGGGCCCCAAAUGCUAUGGGGUGGCCAAAAAAAAGAAAAGGUGAAGAUAAGGGCUACGGUGAAGAUAGAGAGCUGGUGAAGUAUGGCUGCUCUAGGGUUACAUGGUUUUGCUUUUGAAUGAGAUGAGUGUGUGCUCAACCGUUAUCUACGUGCGUUUCCAUCCUGUGGUUCUGGGGUAAAGGACAAAUGAAAGAAAGUUGCUGCAGGGGAGAAGAGUUUCCGUAGCUCCUUCAGAAGCAGGCUGCAGACUUGUAUCCUCCAGCCUGGAAGGAGUGUGCGGUCGAGUCCCACAUGCAGAGAGUAGCUGUGUUGUUCUUGGAUGUCUUGGUCCAUAUUUGGAUGCAGUGCUGAAAUAUCCGGAUCUGUUUCAUAGAUGGGGUUUUGAGUAGAUGACUUGCAGGGCGCUGAACGUCACACUUCUCUGAAAUUGGUUUUAACACCAAUCCAAACCCCACUGGUGUUCCUGUUACAUUUGACAGCUCUUCAUAUGCCCUUCAUAAAUGACCUCUGCAGAGAAAGAAGAAUCACUAGUUCAUUGUGCCGGAGGCCCCCUCGGAAAUGGCCACCGCUCACUCAAACCUACCACCUGUUUAGGGGGUGUAUUGCUUCACCAGAAAUCCUGCCUGUAAGCAGACUUUUUCUUAAAGAGCCAACGAGUAACUAUUUUUGGCUUUGCAGGCCAUAAAGUCUCCCGGCCCAGUCAUUCAACACAGCCGCUGUAGCCCCCAAACAACCGCAGACAAUAGGUUAGAGAUGAGUAUGACUGUGUUUCAGUAAAACUUUACCAAGAAGCCCCUGAUUUGCUGACAUCUGCAUAGACGAUCAGGAACUUGCUGUACCCUUGUGAGCAUAAAAAUCAUACUUGGGUGUAACAAACUCAUUUGAAUAUAAAUGUGAGUUUCCACUUUCCCUAUUGCUGUAUCACCAUGGUUUCUUACAACUUAAUUUUUAUAUAAAUGUUUCUUGUUUAUGUCCUGAAAAUUGGAUUCCUCAUAAAUGUCUGGUAAGGGCCCCCAUGUUGGUCUGAAGCUAAUUGAUGAUGUUUGAAUUCCUAGUCGUGUUUAAGUUCAUUCUCACACGCCAGUGAUGUUCUCCACAUCGCUCAUCUCCCCUUGUAGCAGAUGCCAGCAUGAAGUCCCUCUGAUGCCUUCAUUCCGUGGCGGUGCCAUCCUGGGCCACGCUUUCCUAUUCCCGAUGCUCUCUGGGGAGGCGGUCUCCUGGUUGCCUGGGAUGGCAUGGGGCUCUAUGGCACUGUGGGACCCUGGCUGCUUUAUUCCUGUCCCACGGUUGACACUUUCUCACUAUUAAAACCUCCUCCACCUCCUCCCUCAGCAGCAUGUGAGCCGGAUUUGCCGUAUUUUCAAAGUCAUCCUUCACCGCACGUGAACAUUGGCUGCACCCGGAGCUUGGCUGUGAACUGAUUAUUCUCACCAGGACCUGUUAACACAAAUUCCAUCACUCCUAGCUAAAAAUAAACCAUAUUUAACACUUGGAAGCAAAAUUCCAAGCAAAUAUAUAAUCUGAUUUGAUGGAAUCUUUGUUGAAAAUGUUAAUGGUGGAGUUCCCAUUGUAGCACCGCAGAAAUGAAUCUGACUAGUAUCCAUGAGGAUACGGGUUCAAUCCCUGGCCUCGCUAAUUGGGUCAGGGAUCUGGCAUUGCAGUGAGCUGUGGUGUGGGUCACAGAAGCGGCUCGGAUCCCUUAUUGUGGCUGUGGUGUAGGUCGGCAGCUGCCGCUCCGAUUAGACCCCUAGCCUGGGAACUUUCAUAUGCCACGGGUGCGGCCCU